AGCGAACGCUGGCGGCAGGCCUAACACAUGCAAGUCGAACGAACCCUUCGGGGUUAGUGGCGGACGGGUGAGUAACACGUGGGAACGUGCCUUUAGGUUCGGAAUAACUCAGGGAAACUUGUGCUAAUACCGAAUGUGCCCUUCGGGGGAAAGAUUUAUCGCCUUUAGAGCGGCCCGCGUCUGAUUAGCUAGCUGGUGAGGUAAAGGCUCACCAAGGCUACGAUCAGUAGCUGGUCUGAGAGGAUGACCAGCCACAUUGGGACUGAGACACGGCCCAAACUCCUACGGGAGGCAGCAGUGGGGAAUCUUGCGCAAUGGGCGAAAGCCUGACGCAGCCAUGCCGCGUGGAUGAUGAAGGUCUUAGGAUUGUAAAAUCCUUUCACCGGUGAAGAUAAUGACUGUAGCCGGAGAAGAAGCCCCGGCUAACUUCGUGCCAGCCGCCGCAGUAAGAC
rnacentral:rRNA from 1 species